rnacentral:rRNA from 1 species
UACGGAGGGUGCAAGCGUUAUCCGGAUUCACUGGGUUUAAAGGGAGCGUAGGUGGGGUGGUAAGUCAGUGGUGAAAUCUCCGGGCUUAACUCGGAAACUGCCGUUGAUACUAUCAUUCUUGAAUAUUGUGGAGGUAAGCGGAAUAUGUCAUGUAGCGGUGAAAUGCUUAGAUAUGACAUAGAACACCGAUAGCGAAGGCAGCUUGCUACACAAUUAUUGACACUGAGGCUCGAAAAGCGUGGGGAUCAAACAGG